UUCGGGGGAAAGCCGGGGACCUUCGGGCCUGGCGCGAUUGGAUGAGCCACGUCGGAUUAGCUAGUUGGCGGGGUAAAGGCCACCAAGGCGACGAUCCGUAGCUGGGUCUGAGAGGAUGAUCAGCCACACUGGAACUGAGACACGGUCCAGACUCCUACGGGAGGCAGCAGUAGGGAAUAUUGGACAAUGGGCGCAAGCCUGAUCCAGCCAUGCCGCGUGAGUGAAGAAGGCCCUCGGGUUGUAAAGCUCUUUUGUCCGGAAAGAAAAGCGCCGGGUUAAUACCCUGGUGUCCUGACGGUACCGGAAGAAUAAGCACCGGCUAACUUCGUG
rnacentral:rRNA from 1 species